GCCUCCAUAGCUCAGGGGUUAGAGCGUCAUGCUUGUAACAUGAAAGUCCAUGGUUCAAAUCCGUGUGGAGGCU
rnacentral:tRNA from 1 species